UACGUAGGGGGCAAGCGUUGUCCGGAAUCAUUGGGCGUAAAGAGCGUGUAGGCGGUCCGAUAAGUCCGCUGUAAAAGUCAAGGGCUCAACCCUUGAAAGCCGGUGGAUACUGUCGGGCUAGAGUCCGGAAGAGGCGAGUGGAACUCCUGGUGUAGCGGUGAAAUGCGCAGAUAUCAGGAAGAACACCUACGGCGAAGGCAGCUCGCUGGGACGGUACUGACGCUGAGACGCGAAAGCGUGGGGAGCAAACAGG
rnacentral:rRNA from 2 species